GCAUGGUGAUGAAGGCGACCCUGCUCAACGGCACCAACCCGAUCGCCGCCGGCUUCGGCGGCAA
rnacentral:sRNA from 1 species